GGGUCAGUAGGUUGGUCGUGCCACCGGUACGUACUGGUCUCACUGAUUCCUCCUUCCUGAAGAACCGUAAUGCCAUUAAUUUGGUGUUGCGGGGAAACAGGACUGUUACUUUGAAAAAAUUAGAGUGUUUAAAGCAAGCUAACGCUUGAAUACAUUAGCAUGGAAUAAUGAAAUAGGACGAUCGGUCCUAUUUUAUUGGUUUCUAGGAUUGACGUA
rnacentral:rRNA from 1 species